GACGAACGCUGGCGGCGUGCUUAACACAUGCAAGUCGAGCGGUAAGGCCCUUUCGAGGGUACACGAGCGGCGAACGGGUGAGUAACACGUGGGUGACCUGCCCUCAGCUCUGGGAUAAGCCUGGGAAACCGGGUCUAAUACCGGAUAUGACUCCAUGACGCAUGUUGUGGGGUGGAAAGCCUUGUGCGGCUGAGGAUGGGCCCGCGGCCUAUCAGCUUGUUGGUGGGGUGAGGCCUACCAAGGCGACGACGGGUAGCCGGCCAGAGAGGGCGACCGGCCACACUGGGACUGAGACACGGCCCAGACUCCUACGGGAGGCAGCAGUGGGGAAUCUUGCGCAAUGGGCGAAAGCCUGACGCAGCGACGCCGCGUGAGGGAUG
rnacentral:rRNA from 1 species